UACGUAGGGGGCGAGCGUUGUCCGGAGUUACUGGGCGUAAAGGGCGUGCAGGCGGUGCGGUAAGUUUAGCGUGACAGUCUCCGGCUUAACUGGAGAAGGCCGCUGAAAACUGCUGGACUUGAGGGCCAGAGAGGGACAUAGAAUCCGGGUGGAGUGGUGAAAUGCGUAGAUAUCCGGAGGAAUACCAAAGGCGAAGGCAGUGUCCUGGCUGGCAACUGACGCUGAGGCGCGAAAGCUAGGGGAGCGAACAGG
rnacentral:rRNA from 1 species